UACGUAGGGAGCAAGCGUUGUCCGGAUUUACUGGGUGUAAAGGGCGCGUAGGCGGAUUGGCAAGUCAGAAGUGAAAUCCAUGGGCUCAACCCAUAAACUGCUUUCAAAACUGUUUUUCUUGAGUAGUGCAGAGGUAGGCGGAAUUCCCGGUGUAGCGGUGGAAUGCGUAGAUAUCGGGAGGAACACCAGUGGCGAAGGCGGCCUACUGGGCACCAACUGACGCUGAGGCUCGAAAGUGUGGGUAGCAAACAGG
rnacentral:rRNA from 1 species